AAAGUAAAUUUAUAUUUUAUUGCUAGUUUUUAGUUUAAAAAAGUGUAAGUUAAUUUUUGUUUGUCGUAAAAUUAACCCUUAGAGUUUUUGUUUUAAUGUGAUGCGGUGAUCAGUUUCUCUUUUCUAAACAACAGUAAGUUUGAAUAAUAUUUAUUGUCUUGAGCAAUCAAUUUCCGAAGGAGAAAAUAAUAUUUGAGUGUGUCUUUUUAAUGUAGCGAACGGUAAUGUAAAUUUAAAAUCAGUUGACUAGUGUCGUUUGCUGUCUUGUUGUUCGAUCCCAUGUGGAGUUAUGCCAUCAUGCUUAGGUUAGCAGUUUAUUCUUCUUUUGGAAGCAUUGUAUGAUAUCAAUGUCGUUGUCAAAGUAAAAGCGCGAUUCGGGUGUGGUUGUGAGUGCUAGUUUCCCUGUAAUAGUAAAAUAUUUGUAAGCAUUUAUACGGACAUAAACCUUAUGUUUAGUUUAUUACCUUCAUAUAACCUUGGAAUGAUACUUGUGAUGAUUAUGAUUUGGUUUUUCCUGGUAGAUAUGCGAUUUAACUCUCUGAAAUUAGUCGCCUCUUUGUCUCAUAUAGUCAGACGUACCAAUUUGGAUCUACAAAAAAUUAUUGUAUUAUAUAUUUAUGGUUAAAAACAAAUAUUAUUUAAUAAAAUGUUAGUACAUGUGUAAAAGCAAUCCAAUGAUGAUCUUUGUAUUUGUGUUCUGGUUAUAUAUAUAUCACUUCCUUGGAUGAAGCAUCUUCGGCCAACAACAUCUGGGGAAAUAAUUUGUUUUUAGUGAGAAAAAAGAGAAUUUAAUGGUUUGUGAGACUAGUAAUCGUUUUUUUUACCUGGGAGGAAGUUGGUUGCAAUUGCUAAGAUGAUCAACUGGGGGUAGCGUUGGGGCCGGAAUAUGUAUGAAGGUAUUGGUGGAAUGUUUUUUUCAAUCAGUGUAAUAAUUGUUGUUUCAUUGAUAUUGAUUAUGUAUGGUUGAACGGUAAGCAUGUACCGUUGGUUAUUGGGAAGAAGAUUAAAAUAUCUAAUGUGAUAAAUUUUCCCUUCCUUCUUUCCAUUUUUUGUUCACGUUGAGUGGUUAAAAUCAAUCAUUUCAAAUGUAGUGGAAAUAAUAAAAACAUAGUAUUUUUUAGACAAAUCUGGAUGUCAAGACAAAUGAAAGUUGUUCCUAUGAAAGCAUUUUUGUUUUUGUGAUUUGUGAUGGGCCACAUCCUAAUGAUCCUAACGAUUAUUGGUUGUGGUCUAAGGUUGUCGCUUUGGUUGUUGUGAUCUUCGGCUGCAUGUUCUGCAUAAGAAUGAGAAUUAUUUUAUAUUGCCUAUGUUUUAUAAUUUUUAUUUCUAUGAAGUGAACAUAGAUAUAGUUUGUAGUUUUUAAUUUUUUGGAAAAUUUUAAAAAUAAAGUAUGCCUGGCAAUAAGUAUUUGAAUUAGGACCAACCAUGAGUAUUUGGAACUGUUAAUUAUUAAAUUAAUUGGGUGGGUUUGAUAGGAGAUUUUAUUUUUGUGAUGUUUUUGAAUAUACAUAAAAUCUUAAAAAAUAAUUAGUAUAUAGAAUUAUAAAUCUAUUUCGGAUACAUUCGGGUACCCGAAAUAUUUCGGUUGUUCGGAUCCGGGUUUGAUUUGGUUGUUCGGAUCCGGAUUUUUUCCCAGCCCUAUUUUUAUAUACUCAUAGUCCCUAUUUCAUAUGUAUAAUUUAAAUAAGACCCAAACCACCCAUGAUUAUUGACUCAGACUAUUAAUUGCAUGUCUGAUUAAUUAUUGAGUUAUCAACUUUGUUACUCAUAGCUACCCCUGGACCCACGUCUUACCUUUAAUGCUUUAGUGUAUGAAUUAUCUAUCUAUAUGUACAAUACUAAAAGUUAAAUAUAAGCCAUGGAGAGGGUGUCCACGUCAGCUCAAAUAAUCAACCAAUUAGAAAACAGCUAUGUUAAUGAAUAAUUCCACGUCACCCGAAGCACUUCUCUUUCGCGUUCUCACCAUCUUACCGACGACCAAAGAAACCGACCUAAUUUGUCGUUACAGUUCAAUCGUAAAUUCUACAUUCAAUUAUUUUUUAACAAAUAAGAAACUCUUCAAAUUCAUCAUGCAUUCCACAUCACUAUAUUAAUCGAUGGCGAGUUCUAGAUUCGAAGAUUCUAAUUACGCGAAGAAGCUGUUUCGUCUCUCCUCUUUGUUCUACGGCGCAAUGAGACGCCUGAGCUUUUUCCUGAUCAGAGUCGACAAUGAUUCAAGGUUCUGAUCUGAUCUGUUGCUACUAAUUGCUUUCUCCAGUAAACUAAUCUUAUAUGUUGUCAGUUGAAUCAUUUUUUCUUCUCAUGAUUCUUAGUUUUUUUAAAAAGACUUCGAUGUCCAUUUGUUUUUACUAAAAACUUCGAUGUCCAUUAAAAUACUUUUGUUUAUAAUUUUGCUUCUGCGCUUUUUUGGUUUUCUAUGAACUGACCAAUUUGUUUUGAUUUGUUUUUUUUUUUGUGUAGAGCUUUUGUAAACUGGGAAAACACUGAAAUAUUUCGAUAAAAAGAGUUGACCUUCCACCCCAAAAGACCAUGGAGUCUUUCCAAAUUACACAGAGGUGGCAUCCAGCUCUUCGAUUAUAGAAUGGGCGCUUUGAUCGAUACAGUUGACAAUCACGAAGGCUCUGUUUGUUCUCAUUCCAUAGCCUUUCUUCUUCUGAAGAGGUAAGAUAGGAAAUCUAUGUACAUGAUAAAAACUGCACACUACAGAAGUUUACUGGAUUUUUUCAUUACCCAUACGAAAUCUAUGUACAUGAAUAGUCUUCUAGAUUGAGAUACAUAAGCAACUCACAUAUACAUUUUAGUUUUGUUCAUGAUGUCUGUUAUGUUCUUGAUAAACAUUUACACAGAUGAUAAUGCUGGUGAAAAAUGUAGAUUAGUACCUAUUUAAAAUCUCAGAAUAGUUUAAGCAAACACAUAUAAAUAUAAUUUUGAUGAUUGUACACAGAGUUGCUUGCAUCUCUUUGUUUUCUUUUGCUUCUUUUGUUUUUCUGUUUCUCUAUAUUCUAUUUUUGUGGUCAACCCUCUAUAUUCUGUGUAAUUAUAAGUUUUAAAUCUCAGAGAAACCAUAUUGUCUGCAUCCAAGAGUUUUAUUGCAGAUUAUGUAUAUCCUAUUUAAUUUAAAGCUUGGUGAUGCAUACUUUUCUUUACGAUAUCCCUUGAUUUCCAAAUCGGGCCUUUAGAUAAGAUAAUUAUUGGUAUUUAUUUUACACCACACAGUGAUCUGUAGAAAGUAAUGAAGAGGAAGGUGGUGCUUACAAUCCACUGAAGCUGCCAAUGGGUUAGGACGGGAAGCCAAUACCAUACUGGCUCUACAAGCUUCAUGGACUUGGCCAGAAGUUUGAAUGCGAGAUACGUGGAAACAGUGUCUACAUGGGUAGAAGGGCUUUUGAGAAACAUUUCAAAAAGAGUUUCACCACCAAAUGGAGGCCAGAACUUGAAGAAGACUUACUCUGAUCUCCAACGUCAAGGUUGCGUUCCACCUUUUUCCAUCGAACGGAGCCGUUGCAAGACCUUGACAAAGAGUGGCACAUCUCAUUAACUCAACUUCGUAAUUGAUAGAUGUGGGACCUGAAAACCUUAAGGAGGUAAUGACCAUACUUCAUGUUUAUAUGAUCCCUGAAGCAUUUUUCCUCUAAUUAUUUGUCUUCUGUGUCAUUCAGGCGCUGGGGGCACUGGGGCUGAAAGUUGGUGGUACUUUGCAGCAACGUGCCUAGAGACUUUUCCUUACAAAGGUUCGUACACUUCCAUUUUGAUUUCAAAUUUCUUUAUAUAAAUAGAUUAGAGCAACAUGAUGAUUUUUCAUGUUUACUUUUCUGAGGUUUUAAGACCAAGAGCCUAAAGUGCUCCAAUUUUUCUUUCAGGACUACAACUGUUCGUCUCAGUGCUUUCGAUGUUCAGGCCAGCCAACUUCACCAGAACUUAUUUAGGGUCGCCUAUUCAUGAUGAUUCAAGUUUAUAUAUUUUGGAACUUGCAAAUAAAGAGAUGUUGACUUGACCAACCGCUGGUUUGGGCGAGUCUGGAGCUAGCUGCUCCACAAGUUCUACUAAAUAUGGUGGUGUAAAGAAAAUUGCGUCUGUUACGGUGUCCUACCUAAAUGCAUACGCUCUCAAUGCUUCUAGCAGUGUGACAUAUUGUAAUGCGUGUUGACAUAACGGAAAUAACCACCCCAGUGGUAAUUCUAUGCCUGGCGCAGUGGCGCUAUAUGUGUGUCCUGUAUCUGCUCAAAUGGUCAGAAGUUAAAAGAAACUGACAUAGCUAUAGGCAGUGGUGAAAUCCCUGUGAACCCAACGCCUCUGCUGAAUGAAACCACAACAGCUGCUCAAACAACUAUGAUGAAAGCUUAGCUGCAUAAGUUACCCAUAUAUAGUUUCCUGCAUUUUCUGAAACUUCAUUUGCAUUGUCUUUUUCAAAACAUCGUUUGGUCUCAAUUUCAUGUUUCCAACUUAUUUAUCAAUAAAAGCAUAUUUCAAUAUUGGACCGGAUACACAUCAAUUUCUUAUAGUUCAUUGAUGUGAAUAGAUCACUAACCAUUUGUUUUCUUUUUAUCUGACGAAGUACUUAUUUACUGUGUAGGUCAGAAUUACCUUUGACAAUUUUUACGAAAAUUUGAAUGAAAAUUAUUUUUAACA